AGGCUCCGGGUUGGCGCCUUCUUCACCUGUGGCAGGAGUCAUGAGUGGGAGGCCCUUUGCCCAAGCUGCAUUCAUGGCAACUCCAGUUUACCGGUGAGAACCAUGGGGCCACUCAGGGAGGCAAAGAACCUCACCCGAGUGAGUCCUCUGGGGAAGCCUGGGAGACCUGCCCCGCCGAACGUGGUCCAAAUCCUCAUGGAGACUGGGACGCCGCUGGCAUGGGCCUGCUUAGGACUGCUCACAUCUCCUCACGCCAUUGCCCGACCCGCUAAUCAGCUUGAGGAGAAAGGAGAGAGGAAAUGCCGUCCUUUGACAAGAUGUGGGAAACCACCUCGGUUUGUACUUGGUGUGGCUGUGACCGGCAAACAAAGAACCCUC
rnacentral:lncRNA from 1 species